rnacentral:rRNA from 1 species
GGCCUUCGGGUCGUAAAGCUCUGUUGUUAAGGAAGAACAAGUACGAGAGUAACUGCUCGUACCUUGACGGUACUUAACGAGAAAGCCACGGCUAACUACGUGCCAGCAGCCGCGGUAAUACGUAGGUGGCGAGCGUUAUCCGGAAUUAUUGGGCGUAAAGAGCUCGUAGGCGGUUUGUCGCGUCUGCCGUGAAAGUCCGGGGCUCAACUCCGGAUCUGCGGUGGGUACGGGCAGGCUAGAGUGAUGUAGGGGAGACUGGAAUUCCUGGUGUAGCGGUGAAAUGCGCAGAUAUCAGGAGGAACACCGAUGGCGAAGGCAGGUCUCUGGGCAUUAACUGACGCUGAGGAGCGAAAGCAUGGGGAGCGAACAGGAUUAGAUACCCUGGUAGUCCAUGCCGUAAACGUUGGGCACUAGGUGUGGGGGACAUUCCACGUUUUCCGCGCCGUAGCUAACGCAUUAAGUGCCCCGCCUGGGGAGUACGGCCGCAAGGCUAAAACUCAAAGGAAUUGACGGGGGCCCGCACAAGCGGCGGAGCAUGCGGAUUAAUUCGAUGCAACGCGAAGAACCUUACCAAGGCUUGACAUGGACCGGACCGCCGCAGAGAUGUGGUUUCUCCUUUUGGGGCCGGUUCACAGGUAGUGCAUGGUUGUCGUCAGCUCGUGUCGUGAGAUGUUGGGUUAAGUCCCGCAACGAGCGCAACCC